UUUAAAUGUAGAGGUAUGAGCAUAAUAACACUGACAAUAAUAUGGAUGCAUAAUUGGGAUGUGAUACCUGUAACAAAGGUGACAGUAAAGGCCUUGGAAGAAAUAAGGAACAUGACAACAAAAGACGCAGUGGCAGAGGUUGAUCAUGGACCACUGGAUGAGAGUGAAAUGGAGGCCAUGGAGAUGGCAAUAAGGAAUGACAUGGAGAGGCGUGGGCUUGUUUAAAAACGAUCCAAUAAAGGUUUCUU